rnacentral:rRNA from 1 species
CCGCAAGGCGUGGCACACGGCUCAGUAACACGUAGUCAACAUGCCCAAAGGACGUGGAUAACCUCGGGAAACUGAGGAUAAACCGCGAUAGGCCAAGGUUUCUGGAAUGAGCCAUGGCCGAAACCUAUAUGGCCUUUGGAUUGGACUGCGGCCGAUCAGGCUGUUGGUGAGGUAAUGGCCCACCAAACCUGUAACCGGUACGGGCUUUGAGAGAAGUAGCCCGGAGAUGGGCACUGAGACAAGGGCCCAGGCCCUAUGGGGCGCAGCAGGCGCGAAACCUCUGCAAUAGGCGAAAGCCUGACAGGGUUACUCUGAGUGAUGCCCGCUAAGGGUAUCUUUUGGCACCUCUAAAAAUGGUGCAGAAUAAGGGGUGGGCAAGUCUGGUGUCAGCCGCCGCGGUAAUACCAGCACCCCGAGUUGUCGGGACGAUUAUUGGGCCUAAAGCAUCCGUAGCCUGUUCUGCAAGUCCUCCGUUAAAUCCACCUGCUCAACGGAUGGGCUGCGGAGGAUACCGCAGAGCUAGGAGGCGGGAGAGGCAAACGGUACUCAGUGGGUAGGGGUAAAAUCCAUUGAUCUACUGAAGACCACCAGUGGCGAAGGCGGUUUGCCAGAACGCGCUCGACGGUGAGGGAUGAAAGCUGGGGGAGCAAACCGGAUUAGAUACCCGGGUAGUCCCAGCUGUAAAC